AUAUCUCUCUGUACGGGAAGGAUGAGAAGCUUCGACUAAGGUUCGAUUCGAGCGCAGCGAGAUAGCGUUGCCGCAGGCAACGACCCGAAGGGCGAAGCGCGCAGCGCUGAGUCAUCCUUCCCCCACCACCA
rnacentral:sRNA from 2 species